rnacentral:tRNA from 1 species
GGGCGUGUGGCCUAGCAAGGAUAUGGCAGCAGCCUCCUAAGCUGCAGAUCACGGGUUCGAAUCCCGUCACGCCCG